CUACCAAAAAGGAAGCUUUUAGUAAACUUUACCAACUCUGGCUAUUUGGGAGAAUAAAGACCACACUCCACAGUGAGCUAUACCACUUAGUAUAUAGUUUACUACUAUUUUGUGGCCUAUUUU